rnacentral:rRNA from 1 species
UACGUAGGGUGCGAGCGUUAAUCGGAAUUACUGGGCGUAAAGCGUGCGCAGGCGGUUCGUUGUGUCGGCGGUGAAAGCCCCGGGCUUAACCUGGGAAUGGCCGUUGAAACUGGCGAACUGGAGUGUGGCAGAGGGGGGUGGAAUUCCGCGUGUAGCAGUGAAAUGCGUAGAGAUCGGGAGGAACACCAGUGGCGAAGGCGGCCUUCUGGACCAAUACUGACGCUCAUGCACGAAAGCGUGGGGAGCAAACAGG